UACGUAGGCAGCAAGCGUUGUUCGGAGUUACUGGGCGUAAAGGGUGUGUAGGCGGUUGUUUAAGUUUGGUGUGAAAUCUCCCGGCUCAACUGGGGAGGGUGCGCCGAAUACUGAAUGACUUCGAGUGCGGGAGAGGAUAGUGGAAUUCCCGGUGUGAGCGGUGAAAUGCGCAGAUAUCGGGAAGAACACCCGUGGCGAAGGCGGCUCUCUGGGACGGUA
rnacentral:rRNA from 1 species